rnacentral:rRNA from 1 species
GGUUAAGUUAGAAAGGGCGCACGGUGAAUGCCUUGGCACUAGGAGCCGAUGAAGGACGGUACUAACACCGAUAUGCUUCGGGGAGCUGUAAGUAAGCUUUGAUCCGGAGAUUUCCGAAU